rnacentral:rRNA from 1 species
GACGAACGCUGGCGGCGUGCUUAACACAUGCAAGUCGAGCGGAGCGGCGAACGGGUGAGUAACGCGUGAGUAACUGCCCCCCUCUCUGGGAUAACAGUUGGAAACGGCUGCUAAUACCGGAUAGUGGGGGAUGACUCGCGUCCUAUCGGCUUGUUGGUGGGGUAGUGGCCUACCAAGGCGACGACGGGUAGCCGGCCUGAGGGGGCGACCGGCCGAAUUGAGCGGGGGUACGCCCCAGACACGUAGGGGAGGCAGCAGUGGUGAAUAUGGCACAAUGGGGAAACCCUUGAUUCAGCAGCGCCGCGUGCGGAAGGCCGGCCUGCGGGGGGUCAACCGCUUUCAGCCAGGCCGCUGUAGUGGCAGAAGAAGCACCGGCUAACUACGUGCCAGCAGCCGCGGUAAUUC